AGAGUUUGAUCCUGGCUCAGGAUGAACGCUGGCGGUGUGCCUAAUACAUGCAAGUCGAGCGGCAGCACAGUCUUCGGACUGGUGGCGAGCGGCGGACGGCUGAGUAACGCGUGGGAACGUACCCUGAAGUGAGGAAUAAGCACCAGAAAUGGUGUCUAAUGCCGCAUGUGCUCUACGGAGUAAAGCUUCGGCGCUUUGGG
rnacentral:rRNA from 1 species